ACGGGUGAGUAACACGUGGGCAACCUGCCUCAUAGAGAGGAAUAGCCUUCCGAAAGGGAGAUUAAUACCUCAUAACAUUGCAGUUUCGCAUGAAACAGCAAUUAAAGGAGCAAUCCGCUAUGAGAUGGGCCCGCGGCGCAUUAGCUAGUUGGUGAGGUAACGGCUCACCAAGGCGACGAUGCGUAGCCGACCUGAGAGGGUGAUCGGCCACAUUGGGACUGAGACACGGCCCAGACUCCUACGGGAGGCAGCAGGUGGGGAAUAUUGCACAAGUACGGGGGAAACCCUGAUGCAAGCAACGCCGCGUGAGUGAUGGACGGCCGUUUCGGGUUAGUAAAGCUCUGUCUUCGAGGGACGAUAAUGACGGUACCUGAGGAGGAAGCCACGGCUAACUACGUGCCAGCCGCAGC
rnacentral:rRNA from 1 species